rnacentral:rRNA from 1 species
AACGAACGCUGGCGGCAGGCCUAACACAUGCAAGUCGAGCGCUACCUUCGGGUGGAGCGGCGGACGGGUUAGUAACGCGUGGGAAUAUACCCAGUUCUAAGGAAUAGCCACUGGAAACGGUGAGUAAUACCUUAUACGCCCUUCGGGGGAAAGAUUUAUCGGAAUUGGAUUAGCCCGCGUUAGAUUAGAUAGUUGGUGGGGUAAUGGCCUACCAAGUCUACGAUCUAUAGCUGGUUUGAGAGGAUGAUCAGCAACACUGGGACUGAGACACGGCCCAGACUCUUACGGGAGGCAGCAGUGGGGAAUCUUAGACAAUGGGCGCAAGCCUGAUCUAGCCAUGCCGCGUGAGUGAUGAAGGCCCUAGGGUCGUAAAGCUCUUUCACCUGUGAAGAUAAUGACGGUAGCAGUAGAAGAAACCCCGGCUAACUCCGUGCCAGCAGCCGCGGUAAUACGGAGGGGGUUAGCGUUGUUCGGAAUUACUGGGCGUAAAGCGUACGUAGGCGGAUUAAUAAGUUAGAGGUGAAAUCCCAGGGCUCAACCCUGGAACUGCCUUUAAAACUGUUAGUCUUGAGAUCGAGAGAGGUGAGUGGAAUUCCAAGUGUAGAGGUGAAAUUCGUAGAUAUUUGGAGGAACACCAGUGGCGAAGGCGGCUCACUGGCUCGAUACUGACGCUGAG